AGAAUCAACGCUGGCGGCGUGCCUAACACAUGCAAGUCGAACGAGAAAGUGGAGCAAUCCAUGAGUAAAGUGGCGCACGGGUGAGUAACACGUGACUAACCUACCCUUGAGUGGGGGAUAAACCUAGAGAAAUCUGGGCUAAUACCGCAUAAUACCUUCGGGUCAAAGGAGCAAUUCGCUUAGGGAGGGGUCGCGGCCGAUUAGUUAGUUGGCGGGGUAAUGGCCCACCAAGACUGUGAUCGGUA
rnacentral:rRNA from 1 species